AAAAUCACAUUAUGUCACAUAAUGUCUUCCACAGGCUCUCUUUAAAGUUACACGCCCCGUUUCACAUAAUUACAUUUUAUUGUUCUAUUCCUAUGACUACUUGAAAGAAAAUUAUUUCUGUACACACUGUACUUUUUAUUCUUUGCUUAACUUUUCUAUGAGAUUAAAAAUGCACUCAGAGCCUUGCUGAAUUCACUGUCAAGAAAGAGUGAAAGACUAAAUAGAAUCACAAGGAGUAUUUCCAAUAACCAUUGACUCAGGGAAAUCUACAUAAUCUCACUGAUCCUCAGCGUCCUCCUUUGUAAAAUGGGAUUGGUAACGCCUGCCCUCUAAGGUGGUUGAGACUUGUUGCACAUGAAAUGCUUGGCACAGUGCCCUGCCUGCAACAAAUUGGAGGUGCCAUUCUCUGGACCAGUCAGAGUUUUCUGGAUGCAAUGAUGUACUUCCACUCUGGUUACUUCAAGCAAAGGAGAAAUGAGUUGAACUGAAGCAGGUGACUGAGAGGACAAGAACCGGAGACCACAGGGGCCCUGGGAGGAUAUGUGAUGACACUUUGCGUAUGUGACUCCCGAGAAACCAAGGCAGGAGCUCCAGACUUCUCUCUAUCUGAAUGCACAAAUAGAAGGAGCAGGUUUGAUGAACAGCCGGAAUGCACAUGACACAUGCUAUGUUUUUUCUGCACUUCAGUGAAGGAAAAUCAUAAUUUAAGAAGACUGUACAAAUCCAGCAAUUAGCCAGCACAUUUUUUGUGAGUCAUGUAAGUAUUCAGCAUAUUACUGGGUGCAAAGGAGACACAACCAAAGUAUGAAACACAAUGCUGUAUCUUCCAGGACCACCAUUAUCCAGAUUUGUGGAUCACCCACCCAGCUCUGUGCCAGGCACUGGGCUAUUUCUGGAGAUGCAAAGGCAAAUAAAAUGUGGCUGCUUUUUCUGGAGAAACAUGUAUGGGAUAUAAUAUUUGGAUGUUCUGGCAGAGCUAGAUUUGACAGUAGAGCUCCUAAAAGGAGUGCCCCCUACAUGGCAACCUUCUCUUAUUUGGAGCUG
rnacentral:lncRNA from 1 species